CUUAACUGGAAGAGAAAUCACAGACUUGUGCUGAAUAAGAAGCAUCUGCUUGUGAGUCAUAUUUGUCAAGACCUGGCUGGCCUCAGCUCGGCUGAAGCAGUGUGUCCAAAAACCAAAAGGAUUGUGGGCAGGGAGAUCCAAAACAGUGACUCACCACAGGAUCCGUCAGGCCAAAAUACUUGAGGGCUGAGGAAGUAUCCAGCUGGA